CUGGCCCCGUGGCUUCCAGCCUGCUGUGGACUGCAGCACUUAGGAUUAACAGGGUGAAGAUUUGAUCAGAUGGUGGUGGUAAAAGAUGUGGCCUUUUGGAGGAGCUUGGGAUUAAGGUUCAUCAGACUGGAGCCCCAAGAUUGAAGACUGGGUGUGUUUAUAAAGAGAGGGAAUAAGUUGGAGACGUGGACACAGACAUGCUCUCUUCUGCCCCCCACCCUGUUACCCAUGAGCAAGCUGCUGCCCUUUGUCCUUGGAGCUAAGCCAUGAGCUGAAUAAACCUCUGUUUUUAUAAAUUG